CCGACCUUAGCUCAGCUGGAAGAGCGCGAGACUGUAAUCGGAUGUCACAGCUUCAAUCUUGAGGUCGCCUGUUCGAGCCAGGCAGGUCGGA
rnacentral:tRNA from 1 species